CCAGCACCCCGAGUGGUCGGGACGACUAUUGGGCCUAAAGCAUCCGUAGCCGGUUUUACAAGUCCUCCGUUAAAUCCAACUGCUUAACAGAUGGGCCGCGGAGGAUACUAUAAGACUAGGAGGCAGGAGAGGCAAGCGGUACUCAGUGGGUAGGGGUAAAAUCCGUUGAUCCAUUGAAGACCACCAGUGGCGAAGGCGGCUUGCCAGAAUGCGCUCGACGGUGAGGGAUGAAAGCUGGGGGGAGCAAACCGGAUUAGAUACCCGGGUAGUCCCGGCUGUAAACGAUGCAGACUCGGUGAUGGACUAGCUUCAUGCUAGUCCAGUGCCGCAGGGAAGCCGUUAAGUCUGCCGCCUGGGUAGUACGGUCGCAAGACUG
rnacentral:rRNA from 1 species